UGCAGGGCUGAGCUCUGCCUUCAAGGCACUGACUCCUCUAAGAUUCACUCAGUGCAGAGAAGAGCAAUAGACAUUUGUCAGAUGAAUGGAGCACUCUUCUGUCUAGACUCCUUGUCAAGCCAAGCACAACCUUAAAACAAAUGACUGCAACAGGCUAACACUGACUCUGGGAUGUUAACAGGAGGACAGACAAGGCUAGGGAGGGAUUUUGAGUUUAUGUGUUCGGUUUUUUUUUCUUGGCACAUAAUGUGUGCUUUCAGCUGUUUGUGUACAUUUGAUGGUGCAGGAUUUUGCCCACCAGAACAGCAAGCUCAGCAUUGCCUCCCACGGGGGUGGGAAAUCCAUUACUCAGGCAGCAGUGUUGUGCCUGUGAUUGGGAUGCUUUCACCACAUCUGCCUGUGAUCAUCAAUCAAGGUCUUCAUUUCUUUGCAGGCUGAGAAGUGAGGUUGGAAGAAGUCUUCUGGAGCUCCUAUUAGCAGAAAGGGACUAGGAAAUGUAAGCAGGACAGUUCAGAAGCCCAUAGAGAAGAGAUGUGAUAAAAAGGGAAUAGCUGAAGUACUGAAAUGAUGUCAUCCCUCAGUAUUUCCCAAGCUCAUCUUGACUGCUGUGGCUGAGUUGCUUAACAUGAUCUUGGCAGAACAGUGAUGUAACCAUGGGCCGGUGACUCUGAAGGCUUAAAACAGACAGAAAGUCUUGGACAGAAAUAACUGCCCUCCAUCACUGCAGCAUCAUGGAGGGGGGAAGGUGUGGGAAUUAAACCAGACUUGGAAAGCAAACUGACUUCCAUCAGAACACUCUUAUUGGACACGAAGAAAGAAAAAAUCUCUUUAGCCACAUCAGUGAAGCAAUGUCCAAGUAUUCUCUUUAAUCUUCCUUAAUCAUGGUGUUGCUGAUUAACAUUUGAAUAGAGCUUCUAAUUAGAAAGAAGAGACACAUGCAACCUUACCCUGCUGAGGAGGUGAAUUCUCAUCUCCUACCACUCAUCCUUGCAUACGCUAUGCUGAUUAGAGCUUGAAUGGGACAAUGAUUAAAGAGGCCACUGCCACUUUGCAACCUCUCAAUAGCAUAGCUACAUUCAAGGAUUUAUUUUCAACUAAGACUUGAAUAAAUGUUUUGCAAAUGUGAGCCACUCCUGCCAAAUGGAAAGAGCUUUUAAACGCUUCUGAAGCACUAUUCCAUCUUGUUCCUUCCUUUAUCGCACUAAUCUCUGCCUGGGUAGAACGUGGCCUGUUCGACCAUAAUGUGUUUCAAUUAGGAUCAUGGUUUAAGCAUAUGUAUUUCAUUUGUUCAUCUACUUCAUUAUUCAAAAAGCAGCUGAAACCUGGUGAAAACCUGAAAAGUAUGCUAUUGAAAAAUCACUUCUGCCUUUUUGGACAGAAGUGUUUUGCUUAAGAUCUUCCAUCCAUUAUAUAAUUUAUUACACUUAUUAAUUUGCAGUAGGUCUAACCAAAGACAGGGCUCUGUUGUAGUAGUAACUAUCUAUAUUCAAAGAAGACCACAGCCCUAAUCUCCAAAGAGUUUUUGAUCCCUGCUGGAGUCAAUUUAUAUCAAUCCACUUAGGCUGCUUUUCUAUGACUGCCCUCACUGCAGGGCAGGGGAACAAAAUUAACUUGACCUAAGGCUUGGAAAUGGGAGUGUAGCCAUGUACUCAAUAGAAUCUUUGGGCUACAAAAUCCUGGCAGGUGAACCCCGGCUUCAAUUUCUAAAGAAAUGGCAUCCCCCAGCUGUUUAGUUAUCGGCCAAAGCUGCCCUCCCUCAACUUAGCAUUGCAGCCUCUUCUGCAUGCGUCUGUCUUGCAACCGGUGCUCUACAUUCCUCAGACUGUCCUCAUUACCCCAAAUAGCACCACAAAACCGUCCCUGUCUGAGAACUAAAGAUGUUUUUAACAAAUGGGAUCUUGACAAUAUUUUUCAUCCAGGUAUCCUACUUGUGAUACAAGUGGACUCAUUAUGAGGAGGCAUGGAGCUCUCGUAGCUUGAAGUUGUUAUCAGACUGGGUGGAACAGAGGCAAAAGCAGGUGAAAAGGCAUAGGCAAAGCUUGCAGUGUCAUAUCAGUGAGUUUGAUUGAACUCUGGUGUAGAUCUAGAGAGAUUUUAUGUGGAACUAUUGAAAUAAAUCCUAAGAGACCCUUCCCUUCAGAAGCGCCUUUUCAGUAGUGAGCUAUUUAUCUAAAUAGGUAAAAAGCCAAUUAACCAGAUUUUUUUUUAGCCCAUAAAAAAAAAAAACAAACAACUUUUUUGUGUUUUACAAAUAAAUUGUGAAUGGUAGAGCUUGAGAAUGGAGAUCCAGCUUUUGCUGUUCUGGAAAUACUGCCUGGGCCCAGUCUGUGUGAAAGCUGAGGGAAAGCCUGCUCAGCUCAUCCCAUCCUCUCCCAUUCUCAGGUGUGCGCAAGAGUCACCAGCACCAAGUCAGCUCUGAAAAUCUCAGACGUGGCUGCACACCCAGUGCAUCUCCCUUGGCUCUGCCAUGAGGGCUGGUUUGCAGGCGCCAGUGCUGCUGGGCCUUCCCACCUUGAACACUCUCAGCAGUAAAUAAUGGUGGUUCGCCUCUUUGGCAUUUAUUUUGUCUGACAUCUGGGUGGAUUUACCGAGUAUCACUACACCUUUGAAAGCAGCAGAGUGAAAGAUGAGCCUGACAGCCUGUAUCACCCAGAUCAAGCUUAAUUCAGAGCCACAGCCUAUACAUCUACAAAAAGCUCUCAGGAAUGUCCUAAGCUAACUGGGAGGUGACCUCUACCAGCUGUGUUGUUCAUCAGGACCUGAUAGCCACACUGCUGGGGUUCAUCAAGGAGGGAAUGGGCUGUCUGGUCCGUUGCUUGGUGCCACAGGACCUCCAGAUGGCCACAGAUCUCAGCAACUGUCAGAGUGAAACAGAACAUCACUCAAUUGAUGCGACGUUCAGCUUCCCGCAGCAGCAGGAAGAGUGGAGAGAGAAAAACAAGGCAGGUGAAGAGGGAAACAGGUGAAAGGGCCUUUUUGAAGAACACAGAAAGCAUAAUGAGGUGGCAUCCACGCAUGCUUAGAGCUUAUCUGCAGAAGCCAGAGUUUGCACAGCAGUAGGAAUUGCUGUAUAUAUGCAUAGCAAGAAGGGACAGGCAGGAACAACUCUCUAAGUUAAAGUGAGGUGAGGAGAGCUGUUGCUCUCCACGUCCAGCUAAAGAAAACAGGAAGGUCUGUGCCUCAACUGUUCUGCACCAAACCAUGUUUUUAGGGUCAAAUUUGCUCUCUUUAGGGAGGAAUGUGUUUCCAGCCCAUGUUAACAGGAAGCUAAAUCACUGCCCACCCACGCUGAGUGAAUACAAUAGAUUGGUCAGGGGCACUCUUGCUUUUAAAAGUAAAAAAUAACGCCACGUGUAAUGUAAAGGACAAAGUUGAGCGCUGAAGGCCAGUGACUCAUACACAAUAUAAAUUCAAGUGUUCUAACAGAGCAAUAGUGAACCAAAUUGCUACAAAAUGCAGGGCAUGGUAGGUAGCAGUAGGGCACUGAAGAUGAAGCUCGCAGGGUGAUUUUAACAGGUUUUGAAAGUUGCUGCCAUAGCUUGUUUUUGAACACGGUGGUUCUGUUUGGGUUCACAAGAGUGUCAGGCCUUCUGUGAGCUGAGGAGUGUAUUCAGUUUAUAGUCAUCGUACUAACCUAAUAAAUUGGUAAAGGUCCAGAAUAUUGCAUAUAAUAAUAAUUAAUAAUAAUACAGUUUAAUUACGCAGAAGCCAUUGUGAGCAGAGCAACCCUCCCAGGGGCAAAUGCAGCCAGAGGAAGGAUGGAGGACCUGCAAGAAACUGGUGUUAAAAUAGCUGUUCUGUUGUUACUUCGUUGAGGUGUUAGAUAUAUAUGUAUGUCAGCUUGGUGAGUCACUUGGUACAAGAUGUUAAAAACACAACGAAAUGCCUUAAGAACAGAAUUACAGGUACCCCAGAGAGAGGGAACAAAUGAGUGCACCUAGGUACUGUGGGGCAUUUUUUAUUAAAUCCAAGUGCAGAAAUCCCCAUGUAAGGGCAUUUCUCUGGUCUCUCAUCUGCAGGAGGCUCAGAUAAGCUGACAAUCCAUUUGUUUUCCUGAACAGUAAGUAGAGAAAGCAGUGAGAGCCAGUGCCCAUUGGAAAGAGCUGCUCCCAGGCUUUGGCAUCUCUAUACAGCCUGUUACGAUAAGAAAAGUGAUUAGAGAAAGCCCAGCUGGCCCUGCCCAUCAUUACAGCUGGAUCUUAAUAGCAGGAGAAGAUGGAACUAAACUUGUAGGGCUGACUGUGGGUGAUCCUAUUGCUCAUGGGACUAGUUAUUUCUUUGGCAUAUUGGCUGAUUUUGGUACAAGGGAGAAGUAAUGGUUUUGGCUUUGGUCUUGCUGUAGCCAGUCCAGCUGCUUGGGUUCGAGGUGGGAAGGGGACGUUUUUAUUCCCAUAUUCUAUGCCACUUUACCAGGCACGCUUUCAGACCUAAUUAAGCUUAGCGUUAUCAUUGUUUUUAUCACAUUAAGAUCCCACUUGGCUCUCAGCAGCACAGACCACAAAGUCAACACUGCAUCUUUAAACAGAAACAACAGAUUUUGGUUCAAUUAAAAAUUCAUUAAAAUGUAAAUUAGUUUGUAGGGUUUUUUUCCUGCCUAAUGCCUAUUCAGUGUGGCACUCUAAUGGUGCAAAGCAUUAAGAGGAGGUUAACUUGCAGCACAGAGACAAAUUGCUCUCCAUAUACUCACUGCUUAAGGGAUCUUGAGAAAGAAUUUAACCCUUUUCUCUCAUCUACCUGGGUUUCCACCUCAGGAUCUCCAUCUGAUCCCACCAGGCUCAACCAUUUGUCAUGAGCUGAACUCUGCUUUCUUAAGUCUAAACUGCAUAAUUGACUUCAUCGUGCAACUUCGCUUCCCAUUCUCCUUUGGAAUUCUGCAGCCCUUUGGGAUUUCUUUUUCCUGGGAAGGCCUGUCAUGAAAGCCAGUUGUUUCCUACCAGACUCUGUUAGAAAUGCCAGAAUGAAUUUAUUGGUUGUUUCCCUUCUAGCGGUUGCAGGAGAUGUGGUGAUUUAACCGCACAGUUAUUAAAUCAUUUGUUGCUUCUAAUGUGCUAUGAAGCCACGUGUGAGCUUUACUAUUAUUAUUUUCCUUAUCAUUGUAAACUCAGUCACUACUGCAAGUUCAUUAGGUGUCGUUAAUUGCUAACAACACAUUCAGAACGUAUGGUAAACGCAAUUUAAUUGAGAACUAAUUAACUUGUUACAGUUAUCUCAUUACAUGCCAAUUAAACUUUUUAACAUUCCUUUUCAGUAGAUAAAGGAAUGCUUAAAAUCCCAGGGACCUAAUUCAGGGCUGGUGUGAGGGGGUCAGCUUCGCCUCAGCCUGCAAUGUUUUGCUGACAGGGGUUUUGCUUUGCAACCUGUUUUUUUCAUAAGUCUAAAGGAAACCUAGGGAGUUCAGGUUUGAUGUUUUCUGAGAUAAAGGUGGCCAGAAAGUUUUGUUUUGCAUCUGAAUCAGCCCACAGUUUUGGUAAACAAACCUUCAGCUUUCCCGCAUGUAAGGGGUGGGCUAUUUACACACUGUGCCUGCUCCCAAGUCCGUAUGAAGGCAUCACUUGAUAGCAGGCUUUGGAUCAGCAUCGUUGUGUUGUGUAAUUUCACGAGACUCUGUGCAGCCAAGCUCCAGCUGAUUGCACACAAGAGUUCAAGGCAGCAUGAUUGACUGCGCCUGCCCCCCGCCAGCUCUGUGAUCAAAUCACAUUUGCCUAGUUUAUGUUUCUCCCCUUUCUCUGCGUGAAUGUGUCAAGCAAACAAAGGAGAGACAAGUAAUGGAAGAAAAAAAAAAAGCAAAGCCACAUGAGUACAGAGUGCUUCCAGAGACACAAAAUAAGCAGUUGGAAAAAACUGGGAACAAUAUUGCCUUUAAUCUCGAAGAUAACCAGGUGCAGACAUCCUAGAUGUUACUACUAACAUCUGUGGUUUAAAAAAAAGAAAAAGAAGGCAAGUCAACCUGUAGCUGAGUCAUUAAGUUCAGAGUGUCACUGCAAUGAGGGCUUUAAAAACAAACACAAAUCUUCGAAAGUAAGAAGGAUUUGAGUGCAGGUUGUUAAAGUGAGAGAUGCUUCUUUUGUCACCAUUGUAUCAAGGAACAAAGUCCAUACAGGGACUGAUGAUUGAUUUCUGUUUUAUCUGCUCACUUUAGUGACUGUGUGAGCAUAAGGAACAUGCGAGGAGGCAAGAGGGCACAUUUGGUGGCCAGCUACACUAGGUUUUGAUCCAAGCAACUUCCCCAGAUUGUGAAGCAGGAGAAAAACUAAAUCCAAGAGUGUGGCUACCAUUUCCAAGAUAUCUCAACACAACACCAUGAAAGCUACCUGAAGUGAAUAAAAACAGCAGAAAGCAGAGUAAGGGUGCUGGUAAAGGAGAAAUAAAGCCAGGGCAGGAAGACAGUGCAAGCUGGUUGUGUGUCCUUCAUGGUAAACCAGAGCAGUGGCUGUGAAUAUGCACCUUUCACUUAAACCACAGGGAAGAAGAGUGUUGACAAAGCACCCAUCUCAUGCUGCUCUUCCAGUAAGAGCCUUGCUACAGCAAAGGAGGUUGGAGAGGCUGUCCUCACCCAAAUUUGCCAAGGCGAAACUUGUCUGGAGGCCUUUUGUGUUCUAAGUUUGUUGAAUCCGAACAGCUACAUGCACCUUCCACAACCACUGUCAUUUCAAUUGACUGUACUCCUUGAGUGGAAAGGGUGGGUGUGAUGUAGUGUUACAGAGGUUAAUAGGACACGCCAGAAGUCUCAAGAACAAUUCUUCAGCUUUUCUAUCUGGGAUGUGCUAAGAUGGCAGUACUUGCAUGGUGAAUAUAUUUUUACUGUGCCUUUUUAUGAUGUUUUCAUUAUGUGCUUUUAUUAUGUGGUUAUAAGCUGCUAGCAUGGAAACAGGAGCGAUAAAGCUUGAUUGAUCAUUAUAUUCCCAUCUAUAAAUGGGAUUUUUUUUCUGCCACCAUGAACAACAGACAAGUUUGAUUGGGAUGCAAGUCCAAGCAUUAAGCCUAUUAAAUCCAGCUCCUCAAGUCAAAUCAGUGCUAAUGUACUCAAGCCUUCUUUAAACCAUCAGACCCUCAUCUUUGAGCAGCUGGAGAGGCAGCUGGGAGACUUGGUGCCCCGUGUCGCCCACAGGCCGUAUGGGUUCUGCCACUUCUGAAAUUCUAAAAGCUAGAGCUAAAUCUGGAAACAAAAAGGGUUUUCCCAGGCUAUUGCUUAGCAUCUUGUUUCUGAUGUGGUCCAAUUAUGCUGCUCUAAAAUGAGAGUUUUGUGUUCAUUUAGUGCUUAAUGAUUCACGAUGUGAGCAGCCUGGCAAGUACCUCCGAACACCCCACGCCCCCAUCGCUGUCCCCAUGGCAUGGUGCAGUCUCCAGUGUGCUGCUGCAGGUCCCACUGCCAACUGGUCCUGGGCUGGAAGAAAAGUGAGCCACGUGGGGGACAUCUGCCUACAGUGGUUUGAGCCAUGGCCAAGUAUUGGGCUCUUUAUCAGGAACUGUGGGUACGCAGCACCUCACAAAAUCAGGCUUUUAGGGGAGUUUGGUUCAUCUCCGUGCAGUUCCCUUACGUGCAAUACUGUUCUUUACAAAUGCUCCCAUCUGCCAAUGCAGGGAUUCAUCAGGCUGAUGAACACUGCUGCUGUUUCAGCUGACACAGAUUCUGCAUCUUUCUGAGCUGUACCAGAGGCCUAUUCUCUGCAACACUUCUUUCACUGUUCACCUACUAUGGAGACAGCAGCUUGCAGGAAAAUUUAUCUCCCGAAGAUGUCGGUGUGAGAAGAGGCUUUUCUCACACAGCCCUCCCAAACCUCCCUGCUGAGUCCUGCAAACAACCUGGUUGGACAGACGGACAGCGUGGGGAGGUAAGUGCUGGGAGAGGAAACACUCUGGCUUUCAGGGAAGCAAGAAAGGCAAAUCUUGGCAGAAGCAUUAAUUUAUUUAUUGAAAGAAGCAAGGGAAAUCCUUCUUGCUCUUCUAAAUACAACUCUCUCAUUCCCUGACUCCAGUCAUUCACAAAGAAAGGAAACAUUUCCCAUCCUCUGUGGAUUUAGUGCCUUGUGUUGCUUGCUAAAUAUACGCCAGCAUGCCACUUACUGCAGCGUGCAGGCUCGUGAUCUUUGCAUGGCUUCCUCCCCUCUAGGAAUGCCAUAAAUAAAUCACUAGGUCAGGAAGUCUGCUACAUGCCUCUGGUCUCUCUCCCUCAUUCUCUCUCUCCUUCUACGUUUGUACAGAGCGCUUAAACCUGCCAAGAGCAUUAUGUGCAGUCUCCCUUCUGAUGGUGUCUUGCUGCUCUAGGUGGAAUCCAGCAAUGGAUCAGUCCCUUGUAUUCCUCAUCACGAAGGAAACUGAUGAUCUAAGAUUAAAACAAAAACCAUAUUUAGGCACAAGCUGCACUGAAGUUUUCCCUUCCUGAGGGGCGUGCAUGGGGUUUGCAAAGAGGUGCCUUUCCAUGUGCAUGGUGCUGCACAGCCAAGGUCAUGGAUGCAAGAACUGUUACGUAGGAUUCAGAAUGGGAGUGUGACUGCAAUGCAUAAAGAGCUUUUUGGAUCAAGUGUAGGUGAUUUUUAUCUGGCUGUGUUCACGCAGAGGCAAGUUCUUACGUGAGUCCUGGGUGGAGAACUUCAGUUCUUGCUGGCACAGGUGGGGCUGAUCCAGGGCUGUGCUCCCUGCGUCUUCUAGCUGGAGAUCUUUGGGAAAACCCCUUUGCCUAGCUUUACUCUUUGAGCAAUUUCUUGAUUCUGAAGCCUGGGCAAUUCAGUCAGCAGCUCAGCACAGUACAAAGGACAUGAAGGAUGAGAAAUAUUAGUAUAAAAGAGGAGAAAAAAGCAUUCAUUAUUGAUGGGGGGAGCAAAAUGACAAUCUCUAUAGACAGAAAUCAAGUGCCUUUCUGGAGCUGAAAUGAGGUUUCACAUUAAAGGCCUUUUGCACAGCAAUUUUUACUUGGUAAAGAGAAGUGAAGAGAAUAAAAGGUUACGCUCUUUACAUACCCCUAAAGAUUUUGUCAUUUUGCUAAGUGGAACAUAUUGCUGAAUCUCAUGUGUUCCUUGCAGAAAAGUUCUCAUUUGCAAAGGGCCAUGUGUGCACACAGAAUUUAUUUUUUUUCUUUUUCUGCAUGUUUUAAUUGCUGUUGAAACCUUUAUGUUUCAACAAUGACUCGAGAUCAGAAUUUUCCCAAAGACUGCAAGAAGAUCAGGGGAGAGCAAGAAAGCUGUGUGCAGUUGUCACAGAAUCAUAGAAUCACGAGUUUGGAAAGGACCAACAAGAUCACUGAGUCCAGCUGCCUUCCUGUUACCAUUAUUACCACUAAGUUACUAAACCAGUUCUUCCCAGGUUGCUCUUCACUGCUGUGAUGCACUUCUGAGAGGUCAGUAGUGCUGCCUUCAUUUGGAUGGCCCCAAAAGAAGUUUGUCAAUGUAUCUGCUUCCUUCUUCACCUAUUUUUGAGUCACCUUCUCCAGCCUUUGUCUUCACAGAAUGGCCAGGGUUGGAAGGGACCUCAAGGAUCAUGAAUCUCCAACCCCCCUGCCACAUGCAGGGCCACCAAACUCCACGUUUAAUGCUAAACCAGGCUGCCCAGGGCCCCAUCCAACCUGGCCUUGAACACCUCCAAGGACGGGGCAUCCACAGCCUCUCUGGGCAGGACUUCACUUGGACAUCUCACGGGAGGGAGGUGAAUGAGCUUAUUGUUGGAGCUAGCUGCCUCAGGAUCUGGCUGGAAAAGAUGUAUCCAAGGGGUGCUCUACUGGAAGGGGAAGAUGGAGGAUGUUGAGCCUACAGCAUCAGCUCCUCCCUUCCUGCUAAAGGCCCUACUGGGGAAGAGACGACACACCAUGCUUCAUGGCAGUUGCCUGCCUUCAGGUAUGGAGGUUUCAUUGGGGAGCACACCCAGAGGCCAGCUUGUUGCCUAUAAUGAGGCAAUGAAAUGUUGCGACCCUGCUUUCUACCGGCUCCCAUCCAUCAUGACUGUUUAUCACACCCAAGUGCUGUUUAGCUGCAUAAAAUGGGCUGUAAACUUUGUUCACUUUGUCUGACAGCUAUGAUGAAGUUUGCGUGUGUUUUACAGCCUUACGGAUUGGAAGGAGAAAGGUCCCUUGAGACACCUCUUCCCGCUCCAGGUCCCACCGUUCAUCACAGCAUAGGCCUGGCCCAAUGGAUCACCUUCAUGGCCCUCCUCUGCUCACUCGACCUGCCUUUCUCGAUGAUGCUUCUCGCAUGGAUUAAAAACAUUUUAAAUAUGUAUCAUUUUUGCGCUCUCUGCAUAUCUGCGCCUUUCAUAUCCACAUCUUAAAUUCAUCCCCUCUCUGUCAGUUGUUUGUAAAUGUCCCCAGGUGUUUAACUCUUAUUCCCUCAAUCCUCCCAGCUAUUGUUGGCGAAUAUGGUUGUUACAUAUUCCUGCUAUUUCUGAAAGGUCAAAAGAAAAUGUAAAAGUGCCAUUUCUUUUCUUUUCUCCCUUCAAAGCCGCAAAAUGCAAUGCUGUGCUUGUGCAGUUCCCUUUGCUCUUAUGCAAAGACUCUUUUUCAGUACACCUUAUAUUGUAUUUACUGCAAGUGUUCAGGAUGCAAAAUUAUUUCCUCAAAUUAUUAGAAACGAGAAGCUGUAAUAGCCUUUUACUCUGUUUCAGAACAUACCUCUCUAUCACAACAGUCUAUUUUCUACACUUUGCUCUCAUCUUCCUGCAACCCAUCUUACAAAUGAGAUGUAAAAUUGUGGCUCUGGAUGCUUAUGGACCCAACCCUGCAGCAUUUACGCACCUGUUUAAGUUGAAUCAUGUGAGGUUUUCAUAGUGGAUUGAAUGUGUGGAAUGGUGAAUACUUGAACUAUGGCAAUUACUCCAAAGCAGUUUGCAGUUCUUAAAGAGCAAUGCAUUAAACUGGGAUGCGCUGCCUGCUCAUCAGACAGUUCUAGACAGAAUGCUGUAAAGGAUGGACUUGGAGCAAACGGAGAGUAAAAUGUGCUCCUGUGGUCAGUACCUUUAUGCUCACUCCUUGCUACUGCUAUUGUACAAGUCCUGAUCGUACACUAUUUAGCCCUCAGCAAUGCAACAGAAUCCCCAGGUUUUCACUACAGAGCUGCACUUGGGGAUGUUAACAAAGCCUCAUUAAUUGAUUACAAAACAGUUCGGCACGCUGCACUGUUCCUGCAUUGCCUACAGAGCUGGCAGCCUUCUUGCUCAAAGCCCAGCUGUGUGCCCAGGGUCCGGUCCUUGCCUUUAAAGCCCAACCAGCUGAAAGAUGACCUUUCUCCCUGACCUACAUCUUUCAUAGGAAUAAAGCAACAGAUGACUCCAAGCAGUACCUCACAGCUCUUUAUGCAAAACCCCUAGCAAUGGAGCUCCCCAGUGAAAGGCACUGAGCUUAGCUCAUAGCCCUCCCUGUGAGGGAGAUAGCUAAUAGCAGUGUUGCCAUUGCCUUAUGCAGGAGCAGAGUCAAAUCCCAGCAUGUCUUUUAACACCACUUACUCCUCAGCAUCUCAGCAAACCAGGCAUCCUUGCCCCUAAAAGAGCUUCCAUCCCAUCACACCAUGAACAAUCCCCACUUUUUGCUCAGCAUCCUUUGAGCUUUCCGUUCUUGCACGUCACCACCGAAACAGAAAGAUCAGACAAAAGAAGCUGAGCCACCACCUGGGACGAAGCUGAAAGAGAUGCAGGAGCAGAUAUCUCCAUCUGCAUUCUCGAGGAUUUGUGAGCAGCGGGAACCAGCUGCAGUGCUCCCUGAGAUGCAGGGAUCCUACAUCUCAGGAGGCCCCAGUGGCACCUGCAAGGUCACCCCUGCUCAACAUGCUGUGGGGCUCCAAAUAUGGUGAGCAAAAGGAGCCCGGAAAGAAUAAAGCAGAAGAAAAAUGAGCGUUUCCUCAGAUGUAUGCAGAAGGUAAAUUAUGGGGCUACUUAAAUUGUCUAAAAUCACUUUCUCUCCAGGGGUCUGAAUAUGUUCUAUUACAAAAGCUGUAUACUAGACUGUAAAUUUUCCAUACAAUACAGUGUAAUUGUACCACACUCACCUGUGUUGUAUUUUUUAACCUAUAACCGUAAGGCUGAUUUGGUCAUCUCC